rnacentral:lncRNA from 1 species
GUCUUUAAAAGCUAUAAGAAAUGCUAGAACUCAUUCAUUCUCAACCCUCUUCUCCAUGAAGGAUUAAAUUCCAUGGAAGAAUCUUUGCAUCAUCAGUAACUAAGAUGAGAACAUUGACAGGCUGCUGAUAGUAUUCCCAGAUGACAUCACCGACACACUAGAUGAUGAAGCAGAAUCCAGUAAUUCAGUUUAACAACUAUUUACUGGUCACCAAGGAGGAGUCAGAGUAGGCUCUGACAAGUGGAACUGCUGCAAAGUUCAUUAAUAAUGUGGAAUAAAUCAAUUGUUCAGGAAAUACUGAAAACAGAUGACACUGAACUCGUACAUUUUGCAAGUUCAGCACAAAUCCAUCUCCAGCAAGGACACAGAAUCUCCCCAUGUCCUUUUCUGACCUACCCAUGGAACCUGGUCUCCAAUCCUCCUUUCUUCAAGCAUUCCAUGGCUGUACAGCUACCCAAACCCCUGGGAGCACAGGGGGCCAAUGGUCACUCAAAAGGAAAUAGCCUCAGGCCAGAGAAGAAAGAACACGGAGGCUUUUCCAAGAUUUACAAACAUGAAGGUCAGCUACUUCCAGGAUGUGAAGAGUUCCUUACUAUAGGUGUUGGACACUGGCUACAGCAGCUUCAGAAGAUGUCAAGAGGGAUCCCUGGGUGGCGUAGCGGUUUGGCGCCUGCCUUUGGCCCAGGGCGCAAUCCUGGAGACCUGGGAUUGAAUCCCACGUCGGGCUCCCGGUGCAUGGAGCCUGCUUCUCCCUCUGCCUCUGUCUCUGCCUCUCUCUCUCUCUCUGUCUCUCUCUGUGAUUUUCAUAAAUAAAUAAUAAUUUUAAAAAAUUUUAAAAAUUGUA